rnacentral:rRNA from 1 species
UACGAACCGUACAAACGUUUAUUCGGAAUCACUGGGCUUAAAGGGUGCGUAGGCGGCCAUGUAAGUGAGAUGUGAAAUCCCUCGGCUCAACCGAGGAAGUGCAUUUCAUACUGCAUGGCUUGAGGGAGACAGGGGUAAGCGGAACUGAUGGUGGAGCGGUGAAAUGCGUUGAUAUCAUCAGGAACACCGGUGGCGAAAGCGGCUUACUGGGGUCUCUUCUGACGCUGAGGUACGAAAGCUAGGGGAGCGAACGG